rnacentral:lncRNA from 1 species
GCCAUUUUUCACACAGAAAAGACAGUAAAGUACUCAUUUACUGCUGUGUAAUCAAUUUAAAAUUUCUCAUUCAUAUGAGCUGCAGACUCAUUGAUUAGACAUGGAAACUACAUAAGCUGUGGCAACCCUGAAUUUUCCUUUGGCUGUCUUCUCUGUGCCUUAUGGAACACAAUUGAAAUGACCUAGAGGCCAGUAAAAUGGAAUUACUCAUCAGCUUUCCCCAGACCCAUUCAUACCUGCUCAAACAUUGCUCCAUGGGACACAAUCUUUUCUUUGGGGAGAAAAUCUAAGUCACACGCAUCUUUUAAAUUCCCAAAUCCUUGUUUUCCUCUCCUAGGCAGGAAUCUGAUUUCAGAAGAGGGAUUUGACCUUAUGGAAGUCCAAAAAAUAAAAUAUUGAUAGAUAGCGACCACAUAGUGUGGUUUGGUAAGCUGCAUAGUAAGGUUUAUACCCUCUAAGAAAAUAGCACUCCUAGGGAGCGUUGAAGUGGUAAUUGCUAUGAUUCAUUGAGCAUUUGGUUUGGGCGAGUCUCUGCAUUAUGAGCUUUUCAAAUGCUUUCAGUUAGGACUGCAUUUGGCAAGAAGAAACAAAAUCUUACAUGUAAUAACUCUUAAAAA